rnacentral:rRNA from 1 species
UACGAAGGAGGCAAGCGUUAUCCGGAAUUAUUGGGCGUAAAGCGUCGGUAGGUGGUUGGCCAAGUCUGCUGUCAAAGGGUGGGGCUUAACCUCAUAAAGGCAGUGGAAACUGGCGAGCUAGAGGGCGGUAGGGGUAGGGGGAAUUCCCAGUGUAGCGGUGAAAUGCGUAGAGAUUGGGAAGAACAUCGGUGGCGAAAGCUCCCUGCUGGGCCUGCACUGACACUGAGGGACGAAAGCUAGGGAAGCGAAAGGG